UCCAAAUUUGAUCUCCACUCUUCAAGAGUAGAGUCACAAAGGAGCAUUUUCGCGCCAAUUUCAUCUUCAAUUUCUAGGGUUUCGCAUCACACAUUUUCUCCAUAGUCAAGUUUCAUUACGCAUUUUUCUACCAAUCCUGCGAGGAUUUUUUGAGAAUUCAGAGAUUUUGCCGAAUUUCUGGUGUUUUUCAGACUGAGACUUGUAGGGAACUAAGCUCUGCGCCUGGCCGCGAUUCAUGGGGUUAUAAAGCCUCAAACACACCAUAAACUUGAAGAUCAUUUGUGACUGCUGAAAUGAGAUGCAAUGCGUGCUGGCGGGAAUUGGAAGGGCGAGCCAUCUCGACCACCUGUGGCCACCUCUUGUGCUCGGAAGAUGCUAGCAAAAUCCUUAGUAGUGAUGCAGCAUGUCCCAUUUGUGAUCAAGUGCUCUCUAAGAGUCUCAUGAAACCUGUGGACGUCAAUCCAAAUGAUGAAUGGAUAAAUAUGGCCAUGGCAGGAGUAUCUCCCCAGAUAUUAAUGAAAAGUGCAUAUAGAAGUGUAAUGUUCUACAUUGGACAAAAGGAACUGGAGAUGCAAUACAAGAUGAACAGAAUAGUAGCCCAGUGCCGGCAGAAAUGUGAAAUGAUGCAAGAAAAAUUCACAGAAAAACUGGAGCAGGUGCAUACAGCAUACCAGAAAAUGGCCAAGAGGUGCCAGAUGAUGGAGCAAGAGAUUGAGACCAUGUCCAAGGACAAGCAAGAACUCCAAGAAAAAUUUUCUGAAAAAUCCAGGCAAAAGAGAAAACUUGAUGAAAUGUAUGAUCAGUUAAGAAGUGAAUAUGAGUCAAUGAAAAGAUCAGCUAUCCAACCCACAACCAAUUUCUAUUCAAGACCCGAGCCUGAUUUGUUCUCUAACCAACCCAAUAUCAUGGAUAACAGAGAUACAAUCAGAAAAGAUUGGUCGGUUUUCACUCCUGAAACUCCAGGACCUAAAGAGGAUAUAUGGACUGCAAGACAGAAUAGCUCUAAUUCUGGUGGCCCUUUUGAGGUCUCUGGUGGCUCACCAAUGAAACAAGCGCGAAUCUCAGUUGAUGCUGGGAACAGAAGGGCUGGUGCUUUUGGAACUGGAGCUGGAAACCCCUCAAUGACUAUAAGGAACCUAAUACUUUCACCAAUAAAACGGCCCCAGCUCUCCCGUGGCCGUCCUAACAUGUUCACGUUGUAGGCUUGGCAUUGGAGGGCUUGCACCGCUAGUCACGCCAGACAGUACUACACAAUCUGAUUAAACACACAAAAGAAAGAAGAAAAAAGGAGGGGACACAUUAUCAUAGACUUGUAAUCCUAAUGUCUCCAAUUUGUUUGUUGUAAACCUACCACAUCAUUCCAUGCUGUGCCUUUAUAUUUUACAUGCAAAACCAACUUAAUGCAUCCUUCCUUUGGCACCUACUGUUCAUGUUUUUAAAAUUCUUCAGUUUAUAUAUGUUAAAUUCUCA